rnacentral:rRNA from 1 species
UACGUAGGGUGCAAGCGUUGUCCGGAAUUAUUGGGCGUAAAGAGCUCGUAGGCGGUCUGUCGCGUCUGCUGUGAAAACUCGGGGCUUAACCCCGGGCCUGCAGUGGGUACGGGCAGACUAGAGUGCGGUAGGGGAGACUGGAAUUCCUGGUGUAGCGGUGAAAUGCGCAGAUAUCAGGAGGAACACCGAUGGCGAAGGCGGGUCUCUGGGCCGAUACUGACGCUGAGGAGCGAAAGCGUGGGGAGCGAACAGG